AGUUCACAGAGAGAAAACACCUGAGUGGUUUGACUGAUGCCUCUAGAUGAUGGGCUUCAUUAUUUUAGAGGAGGCAUAAGAGAAGAGAGAUGUCCUGUGUAUGCUAAGAAACUUAGAAUUGUCUGUUGGAGAUUAAUCCAGGGGAAAAGGCAAGAAAAACAAUUUUAAUCUAUAUAGGAGGCAACAGAGAAGUUUCUGGGAUUCCAUUUUUCACAUCUUACAUCAUAACGAAUAAAUUAUCCAAGAUCAUGUCAGCUGCCCUUCUAAUCACCAUGCUAAAUUUGUUUUAUCAAGUUGCUUCUGAGAAGCCCAGAGAAAAUGAAAAUUGUUCUGACAAAAAUAUAAUAAUAAUAGUGCUUGGAAUCAUUGCUGCAAUAAUGACACUUUUAUUUUUAUUUUUUUGCAUACAUUUUUUCAAAACAAGAGGUUCUCUCCAUGGACAUUCAGAUGCUAUAUGUCAAUCAUGCAGUAAUUGCCUUUUUGUAGCUGACAAGUCACUUGACAUAAUAUCCUCAAGGUUUAUCCACAUUGUCACAUAUUGCAGAAUUUCCUUCUUCUUAAUGCUGAACAAUAUUAUAUGGUAUGUAUAAACCUCUUUAUUCUUUCAUCUUUAGUGGGCAUUUAGGUUGUUUCCACAUCUCAGGUAAUGUGAAUAAUGUUGCAGUGAACAUGGGAGUAGUAAUACCUAUUUAUAAUCCUGCUUUCAAUUCUUUUGGAUAAAUAUCACAAGUGAGACUGUUGGAUCAUAUGGUAGUCUCUUUUUAUUUCUUGAGAAACCUCCAUUGGAUAAAGGAGGCACCAUUUGGUAUUCUCACCAAUGAUGUAAAAGAAUUAAAUUUCUGUAUACCUUUAGUAACACCUGUUAUCUUUAUUCAAUAUACUUAUCCUGACAAUUGUGAAAUAAUAUUACAUGGUGCUUUUCAUUCACAUUUCGCUGAUGGUCAGUGAUGUUGAGCACAUUUUCAUAUACUUUUUGCCAUUUGCAUAUUUUCUUUGGAGAAAUGUCUAUUCAAGUCCAUAGACCAUUUUUAACUGGGUUAGGAGGGUUUCUCUUCUUUUGUUGUCAAUGAAUUAGACAAGUUCCUUAUAUAUCUUUGAGGUUAAUAUAUUAUUAGAUAUAUGAUUUGAAAAUAUUCGCUCAAAUUCCAUAGGUGACUUUUUCAUUUUUGAUUGUUUCCCUUGCUAUGCGGAAGAUUUUUAGUUUUAUGUAACCCUUAAAUUUGUUUUUUUUCUUUGCUCUUUAUUUUUGCCAGUGCUUUUGCUGUUAAGAAAUUAUUACCCAAGAAAGUAUUCUCAAAAUUAAUAUCAUGGGGAGUUCCCGUCGUGGCACAGUGGUUAACGAAUCCGACUAGGAACCAUGAGGUUACGGGUUCGGUCCCUGCCCUUGCUCAGUGGGUUAAUGAUCCGGCGUUGCCGUGAGCUGUGGUGUAGGUUGAAGACGCGGCUCGGAUCCCACGUUGCUGUGGCUCUGGCGCAGGCUGGUGGCUACAGCUCCGAUUGGACCCCUAGCCUGGGAACCUCCAUAUGCCGCGGGAGCGGCCCAAGAAAUAGCAACAACAACAACAACAACAAAAAAGACAAAAGACAAAAAAAAAAAAAAAUUAAUAUCAUGAAGCUUUGGCCUUAAGUGUUUUUCUAGGACUUUUAUACUUUGGGGUCUUAUUUUUGAAUCUUUCUUCCAUUUUGGGUAUAUUUGACUGUAUGGUAUAAGAUAAGGGUCAAUUUCAUUCUUUUGAAUGUGAAUAUUCAGUUUUCCAGACAAAAUUUGUUGAAAAGAGUAUUCCUUCUUCAUUGUGCAUUCUUGACACCCUUAACAAAGAUCAGUUGAUCACAUAUUUGUAUAUUUUGAAAGGGGGAAUCUCUAUUCUGUCCCAUAAGUUUACAUGUCUAUCUUUAUGCCAGUACAGUACUAUUUGAUUAGUGUGCAUUUAUAUUAUAUUUUGGAAUCAGAAAAGGUGAUGUUUCCAGCUGCAUUCUUUCUCAAAAUUGAUUAGCCAUUUAUGGUCUUCUGAAAUUCCACAUAAAUGUUAGUUUUUUUUCUAUUUCUGUGAAGAAAUGCUGUUGGGAGUUUGGUAGGGAAUGUAUUGAAUAGGCAGAUUGCUGUGCUUAACACAGACAUUUUAACAAUACUGAGUUUUUAAAUCAAUGAACAUGGAAUAACAUUCCAUUUGCUGGUCUUCCUUAAUUUCUGUCAUCAAUGUUUUGUAGUUGUCGGUAUGCAAGUCUUUCACUCUUAGGUUUAUUCCUAAAUAUUAUUGAGAUGAUGUUAGUUGUGGGCUUUUCAUAUAUGGCUUUUAUAAUGUUGAGGUAAAUUCCCUUCAAUAACCAGUUUGUUAAGAGGGUGAAAAGGUAUUCAGUUUUGUCCAAUGCUUUAUCUGCAUCUAUUGAGAUAACCAUAUGAUGGUCAUACUUUAUUUUGUUAAUGUGGUCUGUUAUAUUAAUUGAUUUUGGUAUGUUGAACCAUCCUUGUAUGCUGGGGAUAAAUGCCCCUUGUUUUUUUUUUUUUUCCCAUGGCCUGUGAUCAUUUUAAUGUUUUCAAUGUGUUGUUGGAUUUAACUUUCAAGUAUUUUGUUGAGUUUUGCAUAUAUAUUUAUCAAGGAUAUUGACCUAGUGAUUUAUUCUUUUGUGCUUUUUUCUGUUUUGGAAUCAAGGUAAUUCUGGCCUCAUAAGGUGAUUUUGAAAGUGUCUUCUCCUCUUAUUUUUGAAAAAGUUUGCCAUUAACUUUUCUUAAAUGAUUCAUAGUCAAAUACAAAAAAAUAGAAAGAAGUAAGAGAAGAGAGAUUCAUCACAUACAAGAGCACCCUCAUAAGGGUAUCAGUGGAUUUAUCAGAAGAAAUCUUACAGCUAAGGAGAGACUAGGAUGAUAUACUCACAGUGCUGGAAGAAAAAUAACAGCCAACCAAGAAUACUAUAUUUGGCAAAACUAUACUUAAAAAUGAAGGAAAAAGAAAUAAUUUGAAAACCAAAAAAAAAAAAAAAAAGCUGAAAUACUUGUCACCACUAAACCUGCUUUACAAGGAAAAUUAAAUGAAGUUUUUCAAGUUGAAAUGAAAGGAUGUUGUUAGUAACAUAACAACAUUUGAAAACAUUAAAUUCACUGGUAAAUACAUAUAGAUAGUCAAAUUCAAAAUACCUUAACACUGUAAUGGUAGUUCAUAAACUACUUUUAACUUUAGGGGAAAAAAAUUAAAAAAACAAAACUAUUAAAAAUAACCAAAGGUAUAAUAAUUUGUUAAUGGAUACACAACCAAAAAAGGUAAAUUGUAAAGCAAUAUAAAAUAGAAGUAAAAGUGCAGAGUUUUUAAUGCAAUUGAAGUUAAGUUGUUAUAGCUUAAAAUUGACUGUUUUAACUAUAAGGUGUUUUAGGUAAGCUUCUUUGUAACCACAAAACAAAAAAAAUGUUGUAGUGGAUACAAACCACAUAAUAAGAAUAUAAUCAAAACAUACCACUACAGGAAACUAUCAAAUCACAAAGGAAGACAUCGAGAGAGGAAGAAAAGAACUACAAACAUUACCAAAAUAAUUUUUACAUCACAAUAGAAGGUUCUUAUCUGUAAUAGUUACUUUAAAUAUUAAUGGAUUAAAUUCCCCAAUCAAAAGACAGACUGGCUGAAUGGAUAAAAGGAAAAAAAAAAACAGCAAUAUGCUGCCUACAUGAUACUCAUUUUAGUUUAAGGACACACGUAGUUGAAAGUGAAUGGAUGGAAGUUCCCAUCAUGGAGCAGCAGAAACAAAUCUGUCUAGGAACCAUGAGGUUGUGGAUUCGAUCCCUGGCAUCGCUCAGUGGGUUAAGAAUCUGGCAUUGUUGUGAGCUGUGGUGUAGGUCACAGACGAGGCUAGGAUCCCACAUUGCUGUGGCUGUGGUGUAAGCUGGCAGCUGUAGCUCUAAUUUGACCCCUAGCCUGAGAACCUCCAUAUGCCAUGGGUGCAGCCUUAAAAAGCAAACAAACAAAAAAACAAACAAACAAAGUGAAGGGAUGAAAAAAGAUAUUUUAUGCAAAUGGUAAUCCCCAAGAGAGAACCAGUGCCUAUACUUAUACAAAAUAAACUUUAAAUCAAAAAAUGUCAAAGAGACAAAGUAGGUCAUUAUAAAAUGACAAAGGAGUCAACUCAUCAAGAGGCUAUAACAAUUGUAAAUAUAUACAUCCAACAUUGAAGCACCUAAAUAUUAACAGAAUUGAAAAGGAAAAAAAAAAGAGAGAGCAGAGAGUUCCCUUGUGGCACAGUGGGCUAAGGAUCCAGCCUUGUCACUGCAGUGGCUUGGGUCAUUGGCACAUUGAUCCCUGGCCUGGGAACUUCUACAUGCCGCAGGCACAGCCAAAAAGACAACCACAACAACAAGAAAGACAAAAGUAAGGGACUUUAAUACUUACCCUCAGCAAUGGAAAGUACAUCUAGACUUUGGAUUUCCUGUUUCUAGACAGAAAAUAAAAAAUAAUAAACAAGAAAAAGUUAUAUUCAAUUAUACUAUAGACCAAAUGGACAAAACAGAUACAAAUGCUGUGUUUCACCUAACAGCAGCAGAAUACACAUUCUUCUCAAGUGCACAUGAAACAUUCUCCAGAACAGACGGGGCCACAAAAAACUAAGAAGCUUGAAAUUUUCAUCAAGUUCCUUUCUGACCAAAAUGCUAUGAAACUAGAAAUCAAUAACAGAAGGAUAAUUGGAAAAUUCACAAAUAUGCGGAAAUUAAACAACACACUCCUGGACAACCAGUGGGUAAAGAAAAAAAAUAGAAAUCAGUAAAUACCUUAG
rnacentral:lncRNA from 9 species